rnacentral:rRNA from 1 species
UACGGGAGUGGCAAGCGUUAUCCGGAAUUAUUGGGCGUAAAGCGUCCGCAGGCGGUCUGUCAAGUCUGCUGUUAAAGCGUGGAGCUUAACUCCAUUAAGGCAGUGGAAACUGACAGGCUAGAGUGUGGUAGGGGCAGAGGGAAUUCCCGGUGUAGCGGUGAAAUGCGUAGAUAUCGGGAAGAACACCAGUGGCGAAGGCGCUCUGCUGGGCCAUAACUGACGCUCAUGGACGAAAGCCAGGGGAGCGAAAGGGAUUAGAUACCCCUGUAGUCCUGGCCGUAAACGAUGAACACUAGGUGUCGGGGGAAUCGACCCCCUCGGUGUCGUAGCCAACGCGUUAAGUGUUCCGCCUGGGGAGUACGCACGCAAGUGUGAAACUCAAAGGAAUUGACGGGGGCCCGCACAAGCGGUGGAGUAUGUGGUUUAAUUCGAUGCAACGCGAAGAACCUUACCAGGGUUUGACAUCCUGCGAAUCUCUUGGAAACGAGAGAGUGCCUUCGGGAACGCAGUGACAGGUGGUGCAUGGCUGUCGUCAGCUCGUGUCGUGAGAUGUUGGGUUAAGUCCCGCAACGAGCGCAACCCACGUCGUUAGUUGCCAGCAUUUAGUUGGGCACUCUAGCGAGACCGCCGGUGAUAAACCGGAGGAAGGUGUGGAUGACGUCAAGUCAUCAUGCCCCUUACAUCCUGGGCUACACACGUACUACAAUGCUACGGACAAAGGGCAGCAAACUCGCGAGAGCUAGCAAAUCCCAUAAACCGUGGCUCAGUUCAGAUCGUAGGCUGCAACUCGCCUACGUGAAGGAGGAAUCGCUAGUAAUCGCAGGUCAGCAUACUGCGGUGAAUACGUUCCCGGGCCU